UCCGGGGUACGGUUUUCCCCGGAGUCGGUCCGGCGGAGUUUUGCGGGUAUUUUAAUUGUUGAUAAUUAUCUGGUUUGUCUCGAUAUACGUGAAAGCCAGAUAUUUUGAUUAUUAUAUUACUUUUUAUCGAAAUACGUGCAAAUGGGACCCGCAGACCAAUCAUUGAUUUAAAAAGCCCCGUUUUGAUGAUUAUCUCGAAAACCGGUACCGAUUGGACCCCGCUUUAUCAAUCUAAAGCUAUUAAAUAUCGUAUUUUCAUGUCAUAAACGAUCCAAAGGGGUACCAAUUAUUUGUAAAUAUAAAUAGUCCUUCCUACACCUUAUUUUCAACCGUAAAUCAUUUUCACCAGUUUCUCUGCACGAAUAUCGAGAGAAACCAAACUUUGUUCUUCGUGUUCUUCGUAAUCAAACGAGGAUUUGAAGGUGUUAUUGGAAUCCGAUGGAGGCGUAUGAAUAGUCAAAACGAAGCUCUCGACGCGUAGAAUCUAUUACAAUCAUUAGUUUCGGUGCAGAUUCAACGGGAUUUGGACGAGACGUGUACGCUUGAAGACGUUCAGAAAGUCAAGUGAUAUUGCAAAGCGAAUAAGGCACGAAUCGAGGAAGUGAAGCUAUAUUGCGAAUAGAGUAUAGCCAGAGAUGGUCUAGAUAUUAUGUUAUGCAUAGAUUGUGAAAGUGGAAAGAUGAGAUUGAGCUAUGAGUUGGGAAUUGGAUUUAAGAAAGGAUUAAAGAUGAAUGGCUAGUCUAUGAUUGCGAGUAAAGUUAAGGCUAGGCGAGGAGUCAGAGGUGUUAAGGAUCCAGUGGUCGAGAAGUGUCCAGGAAGAUUGAUAAGGUUGAUGCUAGCUCGAGUUGUGCUAUUGAGAUUCAGAUGUAAGUCAUAGCUGGAAUAGUUGACAGUGAUUCUUCUUAUCGAAGAUGAUCUGAUUUGGUAAGAGAAGUUGUGUAAUAAUAGUGGUUGAUUCUAAUUUCAAUGCUGUAACCUGGAUGCGAUCCUGUUGUUUUAGGGGGUUAAAAUGUUCUCUUUCAAAUCACUUAUUAAAGUUUUCAGGUUUUAAA